UGGGGGAUAUUGCACAAUGGGCGAAAGCCUGAUGCAGCGACGCCGCGUGGGGGAUGAAGGCCUUCGGGUUGUAAACUUCUUUUGCUCUGAACAAGGCGCACCAUGGGGUGUGUUGAGUGUAGGGGUUGAUUAGCGCCGGCUAACUACGUGCCAGCAGCCGCGGUAAUACGUAGGGCGCGAGCGUUGUCCGGAAUUAUUGGGCGUAAAGGGCUUGUAGGUGGCUGGUUGCGUCUGUCGUGAAAGCUCAUGGCUUAACUGUGGGUUUGCGGUGGGUACGGGCUGGCUUGAGUGCAGUAGGGGAGGCUGGAAUUCCUGGUGUAGCGGUGGAAUGCGCAGAUAUCAGGAGGAAUACCGGUGGCGAAGGCGGGUCUCUGAGCUGUUACUGACACUGAGGAGCGAAAGCAUGGGGAGCGAACAGG
rnacentral:rRNA from 1 species